rnacentral:rRNA from 1 species
GAGAACGCUGGCGGCGUGCCUAAUACAUGCAAGUUGAGCGCUGAAGAUUGGUACUUGUACCGAUUGGAUGAGCAGCGAACGGGUGAGUAACGACGUGGGGAAUCUGCCUUUGAGCGGGGGACGAACAUUUGGAAACGAAUGCUAAUACCGCAUAAUAGCUUUAAACAUAAGUUUAAGUUUGAAAGAUGCAAUUGCAUCACUCAAAGAUGAUCCCGCGUUGUAUUAGCUAGUUGGUGAGGUAAAGGCUCACCAAGGCGAUGAUACAUAGCCGACCUGAGAGGGUGAUCGGCCACAUUGGGACUGAGACACGGCCCAAACCCCUACGGGAGGCAGCAGUAGGGAAUCUUCGGCAAUGGACGAAAGUCUGACCGAGCAACGCCGCGUGAGUGAAGAAGGUUUUCGGAUCGUAAAACUCUGUUGUUAGAGAAGAACGACGAGGAGAGUGGAAAGCUCCUCGUGUGACGGUAUCUAACCAGAAAGGGACGGCUAACUACGUG